AACGCUGGCGGCAAGCCUAACACAUGCAAGUCGAACGGACAAUUAUUUAUAGCCUCUGGCUAUAGGAAAUUGUUAGUGGCAGACGGGUGAGUAAUGCGUAGGAAUCUACCUAGUAGUACGGAAUAGCCAUUAGAAAUGGUGGGUAAUACUGUAUAAUCCCCGAGGGGGAAAGAUUUAUCGCUAUUAGAUGAGCCUACGUUAGAUUAGCUAGUUGGUGAGGUAAUGGCUUACCAAGGCUAUGAUCUAUAGCUGGUCUGAGAGGACGAUCAGCCACACUGGAACUGAGAUACGGUCCAGACUCCUACGGGAGGCAGCAGUGGGGAAUAUUGGACAAUGGGCGAAAGCCUGAUCCAGCUAUGCCGCGUGAGUGAAGAAGGCCUUCGGGUUGUAAAACUCUUUCAAUAGGGAAGAUAAUGACGGUACCUAUAGAAGAAGUCCCGGCAAACUCUGUGCCAGCAGCC
rnacentral:rRNA from 1 species